rnacentral:snoRNA from 1 species
UUCCUCUAGAUUCCUUAUCCCUCAAACCUAUAUAGUGGUUUGAGAGGCUUCAAAGAAAAAGAAGGAAAAGUAAAACUGAAAUGGACUUGGAGUCAUAGGCGACAAACAAGUACAUCUCAAACAAAC